UGAAUGGAUUUUUAUACACUACCGGACCAGUAUCAUUAUACCGUAUAAACAUAUUUUGUUGAUCUGGAUAAGUAAUACUAAUAUACUUGUAAAUCAUUACAUUAUAAGCUUAAGUUGUUUGUGUUGCCUCUGAGUUGAGUUUGCAAUCAGUGUCAUUUAUGCUGUCUAAUUAUAACUCACGAGCACAAAAAAGUGAAUGUACAGUAAUUACACAUUAACUACAGUUGCAAAUGUUUCCUUAGGGUUAUGUAUUUAUCAAACAAUAGCAGCUGCAAGUACUUGCUGAAAGGUUGGACUCUAGUAGGCCUAAAGAGUUAAAAGGAUUUAUAUAUGAUUUCUAUUCUGUAUAAUUUGCUAGAUUAUUACUAGAUUGGUAAAAGUGUUAUUAAUUGCAUCCAAUGUUGUGUGGUCUCUGAGAGUGACAGUGAUGUGGUGUGCAAGUGCAUUGGGAGGCCAUGCAGGGUCUGUGUGAUGCAUAGACCUUGGAUGUGCUGAGCUGUGGGAGUUGGAGCAGCCUGCAUAGGAACCUCUCAGCUGCACUGGCUGACCCAGACCCUGACCUCAGUGAUAAGGUCCGGGGCUUUUUUUAUCAAAAACAUUCUCUUCUCCACUGAAUGUAAUAAGAGAGAUCUACAACAAGUUUAGCUAAAAGUCUGGAGUCUGACUUCAUGUACCUUAAACUGGGGCUCCCGAGCGGUCUAAGGCAUUGGAUCUGUGCUUGAGGCGUAAACAAGAAUUUGUUCUUAACUCACUUGCCUAGUUAAAUAAAGGUAAAAAAAUAAAUAAACUGAGCCUCCUGACUGGAUCGGUUGGGAUUAAUGUAAACAGACCGGACAUUACUCGUCUUCUAAAACAAGAAUGCACUCUGUAAUGUGAUACUUGCAUGGCAGUUAUACCCAUAUGAAUAUGAUAUAGUUUUUAUUGACAUUUAUUUUUCCACCAGAUGAGACUAAUGAAUGAUUUUCAGAAGGAAGUGACAAUCUUUUGGAUUCGCCACCCACAAAAGUACAUGGAGGAGAUAAUAGAGUACUUUCUCCCUCCUGUCCUUACACCCUGA
rnacentral:lncRNA from 1 species